GACAGAGGGUGCAGACGUUGUUCGGAAUUACUGGGCAUAAAGAGCACGUAGGUGGUUCGCUAAGUUACGUGUGAAAUCCCCCGGCUCAACCGGGGAAUUGCGCGUGAUACUGGCGGACUCGAGGCGGGUAGGGGUGAGCGGAACUCCAGGUGGAGCGGUGAAAUGCGUAGAUAUUUGGAGGAACACCGGUGGCGAAAGCGGCUCACUGGACCGGAUCUGACACUGAGGUGCGAAAGCUAGGGUAGCAAACGGG
rnacentral:rRNA from 1 species